ACUGCCUUGAUCCACUUGGCUACAUCCGGC
rnacentral:tRNA from 1 species